rnacentral:miRNA from 1 species
UGUGAUGUGACGUAGUGGUAUG